AUUGAACGCUGGCGGCAUGCCUUACACAUGCAAGUCGAACGGUAACAGGCCGCAAGGUGCUGACGAGUGGCGAACGGGUGAGUAAUGCAUCGGAACGUGCCCAGUCGUGGGGGAUAACUGCCCGAAAGAGCAGCUAAUACCGCAUACGACCUGAGGGUGAAAGCGGGGGACCGUAAGGCCUCGCGCGAUUGGAGCGGCCGAUGUCAGAUUAGCUAGUUGGUGGGGUAAAGGCCUACCAAGGCAACGAUCUGUAGUUGGUCAGAGAGGCGGACCAGGCACACUGGGACUGAGACACGGCCCAGGCGCCUACGGGAGGCAGCAGUGGGGAAUUUUGGACAAUGGGCGCAAGGCUGAUCCAGCAAUGCCGCGUGCAGGAAGAAGGCCUUCGGGUUGUAAACUGCUUUUGUCAGGGAAGAAAUCUUCUGGGCUAAUACCCCGGGAGGAUGACGGUACCUGAAGAAUAAGCACCGGCUAACUACGUGCCAGCAGCCCCGUAACAC
rnacentral:rRNA from 1 species